CUUUCCAUUGCUUUGCUGCUGUGCUGUCUAAACCUUGGAGAGGGAAGCCUGGUGGAGCUGAGGUCACAUUCAGGGCUGAACACUCAGGCACUGUCAGCAGUUUGGUAGCCGGCCUGUGAGUGACUUCUAAAAGCCACGCAUUCACUACAAGUUCUGAUUUCAACCCCAUGGUACAGUUAGCCAUAGACCUCACGUCCUCGGGAGACCUCACACCUCAAUGCUUUAGUUACCAUGAGAUCCUACUGCCCUCGUCGGAUGCUCGAUGCGCUUCCAGUUCAGAGCCAAGGAUAUAAAGGUCUGUGUCAGAAUAAUGGUGAAUCUGCCAGAAUGAGUGCAAGCCAAACACCCCAUUUCUUGGUGCUACAACCCGAAUAAAACAUAUUAGCCGUUCCCUCCA
rnacentral:lncRNA from 1 species